AAGCCGCCAGAUGGCUAUGAUACUUUUUUUCUUUCGUAAUAAUGAUGAAAAUCGUUAAAAUGACAACUUAAUUGUUUAUUUCCACGAAAUUCAAUGUAAUUAUUACACUUUACUCAUAAUUUUUAAAUAAUUGGUUAAGAAUUUCUUUUGAUUUAUUCAAAAUAGAGCGGCGUGGGGGUAGGGGUACAACAGUUAUUGUCACUUUCUCCUUCUCUGGCGCAGGAGGAUGAAAUGAAUGAAAAAGAGUGUUGACCGCAGGUGCCAACCUCUCCCUGAUGAUGUGUCAAUGGGAUUCUUCUCACAUAGUAUAGCAGGUGUAUUGCAGGAAUGAAUAACAAUAAAAAAUCAUCUAUAUACCCAUACCGAAUAGGCACUCAAAUGUUAUUGUGACAGAGUCAAAAAGGGAAGGCAUUUAUUAAUAUUUUGUGAAAGAGUUUUAGGGCUGCAAGGGCUGCGCGAUUUAGUUUUUCCAACGAUUUUUCUCGCUGGUACGCGUUAUAGCUAUAAUAAGCCUGAAUCAGUUAAGUUCCAAGCAAUGGUAGUUGAAAAUUAACUAUUUUACCUGCAUUGAAUUCAUUUUAAAAAGUAUCUUGGGUCAUAUAGAAAUGGUCCACGCUCGUCAUUAUUUUUGAAAUAUAAUUUUUAUCUUUUAUUCCUUUUAUUGCACCAAUUUUUCUUAUUUUAAUAAGUGAUGAAAAUAUUAAACUUAUAUGUACUUUUUUAAUGUUUGAUUUUUAAGAUGCAAACAUGAAUUUUAAAAUAAAAAUACUAAAGGGUUUAAAAAAUUUCUAACUCUUCACGAAACUUUGGGUGUAGAGGCCGAAAUUAUAGCUCAGCAUUAAGAAAUUCCAAGUAACAAUAAACAAUAACAUUUAGUUCAAAAAUAAAUUUUUUAAAAUCCCACUCACGACGGGGGAGGGGGAAAUUUACACAUAAUCCUGUUUUAUUUGUACAUUGAUCACGCCAUAAUAAUCGUGCUGAAAAAUCUUCCGAUUCAUUUCAAUAAAUUGGGUAUGAAUUAUUAUAAUGGAAGUGGCAACGAAGAGGAUCGAUUUCCCGACAUCCAUUGAAUGUGAGGUAACUGUUUGAAAAAUAUUUCGUAUUUUUCACGUAUGAAAACUUAAUUUACCUGUUAUUUGUGAACAUAUACGUUUCAAAAAUUGACAUAAAAUUUUUCUCGAUUCUUCAGGUUGAUGAGGUUGAUGCUUUUUUGAUUGAACUGGACAACAUUGAUCAGCUUUAUUCCUAUUUUCAAGCCGUGCUUGGUUUCUUUCUAACGCAAAUGAUCUUUUACCUGCUCAAUUUAGCGGUUGGAGAAACAGACGCUGCCAUUUUUUGGUGCACAGUUUCGUUGCUGCCUAUACUUUCAGUGAUCUCCGUGUUCAAUUUUCAAGCAUUUCUCGGAGGCAGCCUCUACGCGUUCAUGCAUUAUUCGUACUUAAAGAAUACAGAAUCGUUUUAUUUAUUAACCUAUGAACUAAGGUUUUCCUCGUAUUCCUUGGAGUGGUAUUAUGCGGUUGUUGCUGCAUUCUUCUUCGUAGUUGGAAUUAUUCGGCGGCUGCAUUAUUUUGUUCCUUGGAUGUAACCAGAAAAAAAUCCCACCUUUGCUACAAAAUAAAAUAAAAAUUUGACCAGAGUGAA